CCUACGGGUGGCAGCAGUGGGGAAUAUUGCACAAUGGGGGAAACCCUGAUGCAGCGACGCCGCGUGAGUGAAGAAGUAUUUCGGUAUGUAAAGCUCUAUCAGCAGGGAAGAAAAUGACGGUACCUGAUUAAGAAGCCCCGGCUAACUACGUGCCAGCAGCCGCGGUAAUACAGAGGGGGCAAGCGUCAUCCGGAUUUACUGGGUGUAAAGGGAGCGUAGACGGCAGCACAAGUCUGGAGUGAAAUGCCGGGGGUUAACCCCGGAACUGCUUUGGAAACUGUGCAGCUAGAGUGCAGGAGAGGUAAGUGGAAUGCGUAGUGUAGCGGUGAAAUGCGUAGAUAUUAGGAGGAACACCAGUGGCGAAGGCGGCUUACUGGACUGUAACUGACGCUGAUGCUCGAAAGCGCGGGUAUCGAACAGGAUUAGAUACCCCAGUAGUC
rnacentral:rRNA from 1 species